rnacentral:lncRNA from 1 species
CAACUUUCCUUAGCAAGUGGUGUUCUAUUCUUCACGUGAGAUUCCAGACGGUGAUGUUAUUGAAGGAGGCAAGCAUUCGGUGAUGGUGAUUCUCGGAAUAGCACACGCUCAUUUUGAUGAAAGGGAUGGAAUGAAUAAGUGAAGCAUGGAAUUAGUGGAAAUGGUGUGCGUACGCUGGACUGGUCACAGUUUGGUGAUGAUGAAGGAGAACGUUGACAUAUGAAUGAGAUAUUAGGGUGGAUGAUGCAGGGGGCAGAAGCAAAAAUUCGUGUUCUCCUUGGAAGCAUAUAAAGUUGUGUGCUGGCUGG